GCGUAACGCGUGAGCAACAUGCCCGUAUCAGGGGGAUAAUCCAGGGAAACUUGGUCUAAUACCCCAUAGUAAUUUUGUAAGGCAUCUUAUAAGAUUUAAAGCUUUGGUGGAUACGGAUUGGCUCGCGUGACAUUAGCUGGAUGGUAAGGUAACGGCUUACCAUGGCUAUGAUGUCUAGGGGUUCUGAGAGGAAGGUCCCCCACACUGGAACUGAGACACGGUCCAGACUCCUACGGGAGGCAGCAGUGAGGAAUAUUGGACAAUGGAUGGAAAUCUGAUCCAGCCAUGCCGCGUGAAAAGGAAGAAGGUCCUAUGGAUUGUAAACUUCUUUUGUAUGGGAGCAAUAAGGCCUACGAGUAGGUUGAUGAGAGUACCAUACGAAUAAGCACCGGCUAACUCCGUGCCAGCCGCGGC
rnacentral:rRNA from 1 species